rnacentral:rRNA from 1 species
UCGUCACACUAUCAUUAACUGAAUCCAUAGGUUAAUGAGGCGAACCGGGGGAACUGAAACAUCUAAGUACCCCGAGGAAAAGAAAUCAACCGAGAUUCCCCCAGUAGCGGCGAGCGAACGGGGAGGAGCCCAGAGCCUGAAUCAGCAUGUGUGUUAGUGGAAGCGUCUGGAAAGGCGCGCGAUACAGGGUGAGAGCCCCGUACACAAAAGCGCACGUGCUGUGAGCUCGAUGAGUAGGGCGGGACACGUGGUAUCCUGUCUGAAUAUGGGGGGACCAUCCUCCAAGGCUAAAUACUCCUGACUGACCGAUAGUGAACCAGUACCGUGAGGGAAAGGCGAAAAGAACCCCGGCGAGGGGAGUGAAACAGAACCUGAAACCGUGUACGUACAAGCAGUGGGAGCCCCACCACCAAAGCGUUUCGCUUUGCGUGGUGCGCAAAAUGCGUAACGACAGCACGAUUGCGGUUAACGGAGCGUAAGCGACGUUCAACACAAAAAUCAGGCAGUGGAGCGUUUUGGGGUGGGGUGACUGCGUACCUUUUGUAUAAUGGGUCAGCGACUUAUAUUCUGUAGCAAGGUUAACCGCAUAGGGGAGCCGGAGGGAAACCGAGUCUUAAU